GGUGGGGUCUCCUAUGGCGGUAGGGGUGCCGCUGCAAGUAUAUCCCAUGUAGAUGAAGCAGCGAAAGAAAUUAAUUGUAAAGGUUCAAUUGUGAAAUUUAUCAUGAAUGUGUUAGAUUAGAUCUAAAGGAAUAUUCAUGAUUUAUUUUGAUUGAGUUAUUUUCUAUUAUGUAAUUAGCAAUAGGAUUGCUAUUUAUGAAAUG
rnacentral:lncRNA from 1 species